AAAGAAGCUUAGGUUCACCUUAAACCGAAG
rnacentral:tRNA from 1 species